rnacentral:rRNA from 1 species
AGCGCAGGCGGGAAGACAAGUUGGAAGUGAAAUCUAUGGGCUCAACCCAUAAACUGCUUUCAAAACUGUUUUUCUUGAGUAGUGCAGAGGUAGGCGGAAUUCCCGGUGUAGCGGUGGAAUGCGUGGAUAUCGGGAGGAACACCAGUGGCGAAGGCGGCCUACUGGGCACCAACUGACGCUGAGGCUCGAAAGCAUGGGUAGCAAACA